AUAAAAAUCAUAUUGUUUCUAGAAAAAUAAUCACAUAAAUUCUUUUUAGGAAACUUACAUUCUUUAACUAAAGUAAUCCAAUUGUAUUUCAUUUUAGUAUAAUUAUCUAAAAAGAUGUCUGCAUGAUCAUCUUGGAAAAUACAUAUAUCGUCACAACUAUUUCGUCAAAUUACAAAAAUGCCGUCGUCCUUUUCCUUAAAAAUAAUAUUAUUGAAUAUGAUUUUCACCACUUUAUACGUUUUUUUUCUCGAAAAAGAAAUCUUCAGUAAAAUCAUGACACUUUAGAUACUUAAUUAAGAUUAAUAAGAAAUAAUUAGUUCAUCUUUACUAAGAUAAGAAGCAAAUCUAGUUUGUACUCAUCAAUCUUCAAAUUAAUAUGACUAUUUUUAAGAGUGACGUUAAUUGGCAUUAAAAUAUAACGUUAAUAUUAGCAAUUAAUAUAUCGGAACGGUUAAUGAUUUGUGCUCAAAAAGAACGGAAUCAUAUGAAAUGGAAGGGAGAUGAAAUUUCACACAAGGGUGUGGGGCAGGCAAGGACACCCAAGUGAUAUUGUGAUAAUAGAAACCUUUUGGUCGUUGUCACAUGACGCAAUUGAUGUAUAAGAAUGCAUCGUCUUGUACUGUGUCUGUGAGCAGCUACUUUACCUUCUUUAUUUAUUUUAUUCAUUUCAUUUAUGGACUGGCAUUGACUCAAUUGAGUCAUUGACCAACUAUUGAUGUUAACAAGUAUUGCUCUUGGUAGUCUUGUUAGGUUAGAUGUUAAAUCUUAUUUCUAAAGCACUAUAACAAACUACAUCAAGAUUAUGAUUAAAGGCUACUCAAAUUAUUUGCUCUUUUUUCUUCAUUAUUCACAGAAAAAUUUAACAUUGUGUGAUAAGCUAGAAACUUUUUUAAGUGCGUAAAAUUUGUCAAUCUGUGUAUUUAAUGGGAGAUGGAGUGCAGUAUAAAGUAAUAUGGUCUAGGAUUAUAAAUUGUUUGGGUAAGGCCAACAUGGUUGAUGUAUUGUAGCCCAAUACUUUAUAUGGGCUAUAAAAAAGAAACCGAGCUUUCAUUAUCAGCCCACCAUCAAGUAGAUGUGGACAGCAAGCAUCAUAAAUAUAUGUGAUUAGAGUUUCUUUGUU
rnacentral:lncRNA from 1 species